AAAAGGUAAGAAAGAGAUGGUUCUUUAAAGGAACUUUGACUGAAUGGUUCUUUGUGGAACCAAAAAUGGUUCUUCUAUGGCAUCGUUUGAAGAACCUUUUGAAGCACCUUUAUUUUCAAGUGUGUAUGUUUAACUCACACUGCCAGAUUUCAUCUGCGAGCUUGCAAAGUCUCAGAGGUAAAUUACGGCACUAAUGGAAUAUUUGCCAUGGCGUUUGAGUGUCUGUAGGGAGGGGGAGAGAGACAAGUGCAAUUAGUAUUAAAUGACACAAAUAUAAAUCCAAAAUCGUAUUAAUUGAAUUGCGCGUGGUUUAGUUUGGUCAACCUCCAAGCUAAGGAUAUUUAAAAUUGUACACUUGUCAACCAGGUGUAAGAUUGAAUCUUUUUUUCUUUCCUUUUUUAUCAGGGUAAAAAAAAGGAUCUGAUGUUUUCUUGUUUAAACUAUCCUAAAAUAUUGUGAAAUACAAUUAUAAUCCAUUUUUAAGUUAAUUAAAUAAACCAUAACUGAGCAUAACAUUUUAUUCAUAAAACGCUAUUUAAACUUAACUUUAAGUCACAUUAUUAAAUCAAAAUUGAGACAUUGUUAAAGUAUUAGUCUAAUAUUAGUCUUUCGGACUCUGUAAAGAGAAAAAAACGGUGCAGGAACAAACAUUUUAAAAGAACCCAACUAAACUCUUCUCCUCCAAACCAUUUCAAAAUAAUAACAACUUGAAGUAUGCGAGGUAUUAUAAACAUCCGUUGAGUGUUUUACCACAGUAUGCUUUGAAGACCAAGAAAACUGGGCACAUAUUCAUUCUCCAGGCACUCUGCCAAACUCUUCCAAGCACCCUACCUGCCUACUAUCUUAAGUUUCCCGAAUAAGUGAGAAAACACAAUCCAGUUGCAGCUGCAGGGCUGCAUGUUUCUUCCCUGCACUCCGAGACUGAACUCUAAAACACGGACAAGAAAACUUUUGACGCAUGGGAGAAAACUGAUGGGGUGUUUAUACAGUGCAACAUGCUGAUCCAUUCCACAUCUGACGAACUACCAUGAGCAACACAUCAGAGUCGUGCCUCAUCUUUCAUAGAGGAAAAGGUCACCAUUCAGUAAGAGGAAAUCAUCCUGCACAGCUGGACAACCACAGUGCUGGAUCAUCUCAGUAAGAAAAAAGAAGAGAGAGCGAGUACAAAUAUACAACUCUCAAGUAUAAGGGGUAGGAAAGGAUGAGGAAAAAGAAGAGAAGAACUGUCAAAGCCCUCAAAAAGCCAGUCCACUUCUACAUUACUGUGCUUUACAACUCCAAUGGUUAGAUUAAAAGUCUCCUACCUUAAGUAUAGUCUAUUUUUUUCAGUAAAGGCCUAAGCCAUGCUUAAUAAACCUGUAAGCUCACCUAUAGAAUCCCCUGCACUACCCCUAGUGCGUCACCAGCCACCAGAACCCCCGCUGGACUGACAAGGGUGGUAGAUGUUCUUAAACAUCACAAGCCACUUUCUCUGUUUCAAGCUGACCUUGGAAUGGCUAUUAGAUGUGGCUUUGAACUACUGGAACUAUCUCUAUAGACCAGUGUCAAGGGUCCCCCUGAGUUGAUAAUGACUUGCUUUCAUAACUGCUGUGACAUUUUGUGAAGGUACGCUAGGCGUGCUCACAGGCCAUAUCUCCAGAAUGCAAUGCUUCCUUUCCCCCUCAGCAGGUGCGAAUCCGAGCUGCAUAGUCUGCGAUUUACAGUGCUGUGUUCGCGCAUCCCGGAAUAAGUAUAGGCCCGGGCCCACGCAUAUGUCCAGCCUUGAUAAGCAUUUCAGCUCACUACAGUGUUGACACAAACUCAGAAUUGCCACAAAAGAUUAGUGACUGUACAGUGGUGACGUUUGCUUUAAAUAUCACUGCCAGAGUUCCUUGAUGAAGCUAAUUACCAUAUGCCAUGCCAUUAUUGUUUUCUGCCUUGGAUCAGUUGCUUCUGCUUAUAUUAUUAUAAUUAUUAAUUUUUUAAAUCAUAAAAGUGCCUGGUAAAUUAAUAAAUGUAUUGCAAUGAAUAAUGGCAAUUAAAUUGAAAAAAAAAAAGCUAUAAAAUUCACUAGAACUAUGUACUUUGAUAGGAUUUAAAGAGUCUAAUAAAAUUGAUUUUUAAAAGACUUUUCAGUCCACUUCUGCACUUGGUGGUUCAAAUAUCAUCGCUCCAUCUCAUAGAAAGCUCACAACACUGCCAGGUCACCGUAUAUGUCUGUUGUUAAAAUCUGAAUCUUGUAGGCUGCUGAAUGUCUAGUUCCUGUGGAUGGAAAAAGAGAUAAAUGAACUCACUCGCUGUGCCCUUACAUAAAUGAGGGUUGAUGAAACUGAUGAUAGGCUCAGGCUGCUGAAGAAGUGAUCCCAGUGGAGACCAUACAGUGGUCUGUCCCACUCACAAGACAAAUUAUAUAAUUAGGCGCAUGUCUUCGGGGAUGGCCACCUUUGCCCCUUUCUUGACAUCUUCAAUGGUAAAUGACAGCAUAUCUUGCUAAAAUAACUGAGCAAAUUCAUCUUGGUGACACACGCAGAAUUCUCUUUACAGUUGCAUUAAUUGUCUGGUUUUGAGAAAUCCCAUGAAAAUGCCAAUAUGGGCUCAAGGGAAACAUUACAUUUGAUUAUAAAGACGAUCAUGAUUCUUGGGCAGGCCUGUCUGAGAGAUUUACAUGAAUCAUAAGCAAAUUAUUUAAAGAGUACAGUAAUUUACAUUAAUAAUACUGAAAGAAUCUAUGAAUAAAAUGCAGUGUCUUAUGCUUGAAUACACUGAAUGGAUUAAUUUUAGGAGGUUUAAGACAGAGUUGUCCUUUUUUUAAUGUAAAGCACUUCGCUUGCGUUAAUUUUAGCAUUGUUUUAAAGUUUUUGAGAAUCACUUGAGAAUCGUCGCACUAAAAUAUGGGCGCUUUUGUCUUGUUUUGAAACCCACAAUUCUUUAUUCACGUAUGAAAAAUUAUCACGCAACUAAACAGAAACGCCCUCGCGGACAGCUUCCUUUCAUCACCUCUUGCUUAUCACCGGCAUUGUCAAAAUUUUCACGUGCCCCGCAAGGGGCUCCGAUUGAAAAAGCAGAGCCCGGGCUCCUGCCUCGUCCAGGCAGGGUUAAGCCACCUCUCCAACCAGGCGGCCCCCAGCGGAACCCUCAUUACUUUGGCUCCUGGAGCAGUCAGCUGUGCUGUGGUUCAGAGAAGAGAGGCUCCUUACCUGGGCAUCACUGCUUCCACAUGCCAACAACAUACGCGCCUUCACCAACCAGAUUUGACAGCUCACGCUCAACUACAGCCUGCUGGAACACAGACAUGAUAAAAAUACAUUCCCUUUGGUUCCCCGUGAAAUGUCGCUUUCUCACGUUUGCUAGGAGUAUAUGACAGCACUUAGUUUGACUUGAGACACCUUUUGGUGUCAGGUUUUGUUUGUUUAAAUCUACUUCGAGUUAUAAUUUGGAGUGUUUAUACUGUCUGUAUAUUCAAAUAAAGCUGCCAUUUCAGUG